rnacentral:rRNA from 1 species
GACGAACGCUGGCGGCGUGCUUAACACAUGCAAGUCGAACGGAAAGGCCCUGCUUGCAGGGUACUCGAGUGGCGAACGGGUGAGUAACACGUGGGUGAUCUGCCCUGCACUUCGGGAUAAGCCUGGGAAACUGGGUCUAAUACCGGAUAGGAGCCAUUUUUAGUGUGAUGGUUGGAAAGUUUUUUCGGUGUAGGAUGAGCUCGCGGCCUAUCAGCUUGUUGGUGGGGUAAUGGCCUACCAAGGCGGCGACGGGUAGCCGGCCUGAGGGGGUGGACGGCCACAUUGGGAAUGAGAUACGGCCCAGAAUCCGACGGGAGGCAGCAGUGGGGAAGAUUGCAAAAUGGGCGCAAGCCUGAUGCAGCGAAGCCGCGUGGGGGAUGACGGCCUUCGGGUUGUAAAAUCCUUUCGCUAGGGAAGAAGCUUUUUGUGACGGUACCUAGAUAAGAAGCACCGGCUAACUACGUG